rnacentral:rRNA from 1 species
GACGAACGCUGGCGGCGUGCUUAACACAUGCAAGUCGAGCGGUAAGGCUCCUUCGGGAGUACACGAGCGGCGAACGGGUGAGUAACACGUGAGCAAUCUGCCCUUCUCAUCGGAAUAACCACUGGAAACGAUGGCUAAUGCCGAAUACGACUUCCUUUCGCAUGUCAGGAAGUGGAAAGCUCCGGCGGAGAAGGAUGAGCUCGCGGCCUAUCAGCUUGUUGGUGAGGUAAUGGCUCACCAAGGCGGCGACGGGUAGCCGGCCUGAGAGGGUGACCGGCCACACGGGGACUGAGACACGGCCCAGACUCCUACGGGAGGCAGCAGUGGGGAAUAUUGGACAAUGGGCGAAAGCCUGAUCCAGCAACGCCGCGUGAGGGAUGACGGCCUUCGGGUUGUAAACCGCUUUCAGCAGGGACGAAGCGAAAGUGACGGUACCUGCAGAAGAAGGACCGGCCAACUACGUGCCAGCCGCCGCCGUAA